rnacentral:tRNA from 5 species
UCGUCUAGAGGCCUAGGACAUCGCCCUUUCACGGCGGUAACCGGGGUUCGAAUCCCCGUAGGGACGCCA